AGAGUUUGAUCCUGGCUCAGGAUGAACGCUAGCGGCAGGCUUAACACAUGCAAGUCGAGGGGCAGCAUAAUGGAUAGCAAUAUCUAUGGUGGCGACCGGCGCACGGGUGCGUAACGCGUAUGCAACCUACCUUUAACAGGGGGAUAACACUGAGAAAUUGGUACUAAUACCCCAUAAUAUCAUAGAAGGCAUCUUUUAUGGUUGAAAAUUCCGAUGGUUAGAGAUGGGCAUGCGUUGUAUUAGCUAGUUGGUGGGGUAACGGCUCACCAAGGCGACGAUACAUAGGGGGACUGAGAGGUUAACCCCCCACACUGGUACUGAGACACGGACCAGACUCCUACGGGAGGCAGCAGUGAGGAAUAUUGGUCAAUGGACGCAAGUCUGAACCAGCCAUGCCGCGUGCAGGAUGACGGCUCUAUGAGUUGUAAACUGCUUUUGUACGAGGGUAAACGCAGAUACGUGUAUCUGUCUGAAAGUAUCGUACGAAUAAGGAUCGGCUAACUCCGUGCCAGCAGCCGCGGUAAUACGGAGGAUUCAAGCGUUAUCCGGAUUUAUUGGGUUUAAAGGGUGCGUAGGCGGUUUGAUAAGUUAGAGGUGAAAUUUCGGGGCUCAACCCUGAACGUGCCUCUAAUACUGUUGAGCUAGAGAGUAGUUGCGGUAGGCGGAAUGUAUGGUGUAGCGGUGAAAUGCUUAGAGAUCAUACAGAACACCGAUUGCGAAGGCAGCUUACCAAACUAUAUCUGACGUUGAGGCACGAAAGCGUGGGGAGCAAACAGGAUUAGAUACCCUGGUAGUCCACGCAGUAAACGAUGAUAACUCGUUGUCGGCGAUACACAGUCGGUGACUAAGCGAAAGCGAUAAGUUAUCCACCUGGGGAGUACGUUCGCAAGAAUGAAACUCAAAGGAAUUGACGGGGGCCCGCACAAGCAGCGGAGCAUGUGGUUUAAUUCGACGCAACGCGAAGAACCUUACCAGGUCUUGACAUCCACUUAAACUUACAGAGAUGUAAGGUGUGCUUGCACAAAGUGAGACAGGUGGUGCAUGGUUGUCGUCAGCUCGUGUCGUGAGAUGUUGGGUUAAGUCCCGCAACGAGCGCAACCCUUAUCUUCAGUUACUAACGCGUAGAGGUGAGGACUCUGAAGAGACUGCCGGGGACAACUCGGAGGAAGGUGGGGACGACGUCAAAUCAUCAUGCCCCUUAUGACCUGGGCUACACACGUGCUACAAUGGCCACGACAGAGAGAAGCGAAAUCGCAAGGUAGAGCGGAACUCAAAAAAGUGGUCCCAGUUCGGAUUGUGGGCUGCAACCCGCCCACAUGAAGUCGGAGUUGCUAGUAAUCGCGGAUCAGCAUGCCGCGGUGAAUACGUUCCCGGGCCUUGUACACACCGCCCGUCAAG
rnacentral:rRNA from 1 species